UACGUAGGGUGCAAGCGUUAUCCGGAAUUAUUGGGCGUAAAGAGCUCGUAGGCGGUUUGUCGCGUCUGCUGUGAAAACUGGAGGCUCAACCUCCAGCCUGCAGUGGGUACGGGCAGACUAGAGUGCGGUAGGGGGAGAUUGGAAUUCCUGGUGUAGCGGUGGAAUGCGCAGAUAUCAGGAGGAACACCGAUGGCGAAGGCAGGUCUCUGGGCCACUACUGACGCUGAGAAGCGAAAGCAUGGGGAGCGAACAGG
rnacentral:rRNA from 1 species